rnacentral:misc_RNA from 1 species
UGGCUCUCGCAUCGAUGAAGAACGCAGCGAAAUGUGAUAAGUAAUGUGAAUCGCAGAACUCAGUGAAUCAUCGAAUCUUUGAACGCACCUUGCGCCUUCUGGUAUUCCGGAGGGCACGCCUGUUUGAGUGUCAUGUUAAUUAUCAAACACUUGACUUGUGUUGCUUAUGGCAACUGUCCAAGUGGGUUGGAAUUUGGGUGUUUUUGCGCAUUUUACCGUGUGCUCAUCCGAAAUGCAGGGAAGCCUGACGACUCUCAAGAGUUGAUUGUUUGACUCGCCAUCGUAACAUUGUUUAUUGGUGGGAACUCCGAAAGGGGACGAUUGACUUGCUACAAUGACUGUUGUUGACUUCGUUUCAAGGUUAACAGCCUUAAAUUUCGAUUUUAGACCUCAAAUCAGGUGGGACUACCCGCUGA